rnacentral:tRNA from 1 species
UGGUUCAGUUGGUAGAGCCUGGCACUUGCAAUGCCAGGGUUGUGGGUGUGAUUCCCAC